AUUGAACGCUGGCGGCAUGCCUUACACAUGCAAGUCGAACGGUAACAGGUCUUCGGAUGCUGACGAGUGGCGAACGGGUGAGUAAUACAUCGGAACGUGCCUAGUAGUGGGGGAUAACUACUCGAAAGAGUGGCUAAUACCGCAUGAGAUCUACGGAUGAAAGCAGGGGAUCGCAAGACCUUGUGCUACUAGAGCGGCCGAUGGCAGAUUAGGUAGUUGGUGGGAUAAAAGCUUACCAAGCCGACGAUCUGUAGCUGGUCUGAGAGGACGAUCAGCCACACUGGGACUGAGACACGGCCCAGACUCCUACGAGAGGCAGCAGGGGGGAAUUUUGGACAGUGGGCGAAAGCAUGAUCCAGAAAUGCCGCGUGCAGGAUGAAGGCCUUCGGGUUGUAAACUGCUUUUGUACGGAACGAAAAGCCCCGGGUUAAUACCCUGGGGUCAUGACGGUACCGUAAGAAUAAGCACCGGCUAACUACGUGCCAGCCGCCGCCGUAA
rnacentral:rRNA from 1 species